UUUAAGAGUGUAAGGGUUGUUUAAGACGAAGACGUAGAUAGGCUGGGUGUGUAAGCGGUGCGAGCCGUUGAGCUAACCAGUACUAAUUGCCCGAGCGGCUUAACCAU
rnacentral:rRNA from 1 species